rnacentral:rRNA from 1 species
UACGUAGGGAGCAAGCGUUGUUCGGAUUUACUGGGCGUAAAGGGCGCGUAGGCGGCAAUUCAAGUCAUCUGUGAAAUCUCCGGGCUUAACUCGGAACUGUCAGAUGAUACUGCUUUGCUAGAGUGCAGAAGGGGCAAUCGGAAUUCUUGGUGUAGCGGUGGAAUGCGUAGAUAUCAAGAGGAACACCUGAGGUGAAGACGGGUUGCUGGGCUGACACUGACGCUGAGGCGCGAAAGCCAGGGGAGCAAACAGG